ensembl:lncRNA
CUGGGUCAGAGGACUACACGGGCUGUCACUUCCAAGGCGGUUCCCUGUUUUGGCUUCUUCUGUUUGCUGGUCUCUUCAGCGUCUCAUUUCUGCCCUGACACAAGAAAUUGAAUUUUCUGGCACCUCUCUGCAGAAUAUCAUCUGAUUCUGGGCAAUCAAUUUGAGACAGCUGACUGGGGUCAGAAGAGCAGUCUGUGACUGUGGAACCGAGCAGAUUUCAUUGGAACAAAGUGACAGAGGGAUGGAGAAGGAUCCAACUCAAACUUUAGGUUUCCUGUAUACCAUGGAGCCCAGCCACCCACAAGCCACAGUCUGUCAGAAGAUACCAGAGACGAGAUCACUCUCCAGGGGACACUUAAGCCAUUCAUAUAAUCACCUGCUGGUACAUGUUGGCUUUCCAAGCCUAAUUAGUUUGUGAAGAGUGCUAAUGAAGAUGGGCAUUUGCUUGUAUGGACAGGCUAAGGAUGGUCCAGCAUCCUUAAGUGGUCAAAGGAUAAGGCAGUGAUGGUUAGAAGAACCAAGAUGUCAUAGGGGCCAGACUGCUCAAUAUUAUUGAAGAAAGCCAACAGCAAGAAUUUUGCAGAACACAGAAAAUGUGAUUGUCUCCUCGGAGUUGGAGCAGAUUUCUAUCUUUUACCAAGAAACAAGGUUGGGAACGCACAUUCAUGUUCUUUAACAGAAGAAUCAGUUCCACUGGAGAAGCCACAAAACAUAGAGGUGUUUAUCAACAUACCUACUCCAUAUAUUUUUUUUAAGUGUAGUCAGUACAAUGAAAACUCUAUUGAUUUGUUUAUGAGCUCUGCCAUCAUAAUAAAAAG